UUCGCCCGCCCUGCCCCUCGCCUGCUUCAGAAGCUUCCAGGAACUCCCGGGUCGGCGACCCAGCCCGAGCCGCCUGGGGCCCCAAGGGAAGCUGAACGCCCUGUGGGCUCCUGGGAUGGUUCUUCCCGUUCUUUGCGCCGCCUUCACCCAUUGAAGAGCCUGUGCCCACCCUGCCCAGUCGCUCUCGGGGCCGCGGAGGAGCUUCCGCUGCCAUCUUCGGAUCCUGUGUUCCGCACGGGGGCUCCACCAGGGCAGGGAUGGUGAAUGGGGAAAUGGAGAGAGAACCUGAAAGAGCCCCAAACUCGAGGACCUAUUGCUCCCCAAGAAUAACAUCUUCCAGAAGAACUAGACAGAAAACUAGGCGUCUGGGAACUCUGAAAUCCUUGGAGGAGUAGCAUCAUCAUGACCCUCUGUGUUCCUUUUGGCAAAGGACUUGCUCCCAUUGUUUGCUUGUUCCAUUGUCUGUCUGUUAAAUAAAUAAAACCCUUUUCAUAUAUCUUUAAACUUAAAAAAAAAAAAAAAAAAAAAAAAAAAAAAAAAAAAA
rnacentral:lncRNA from 1 species